rnacentral:misc_RNA from 1 species
UACGUAGGGGGCAAGCGUUGUCCGGAAUUAUUGGGCGUAAAGCGCGCGCAGGCGGUUUCUUAAGUCUGAUGUGAAAGCCCACGGCUCAACCGUGGAGGGUCAUUGGAAACUGGGAAACUUGAGUACAGAAGAGGAGAGUGGAAUUCCAUGUGUAGCGGUGAAAUGGGUAGAGAUAUGGAGGAACACCAGUGGCGAAGGCGGCUUUCUGGUCUGUAACUGACACUGAGGCGCGAAAGCGUGGGGAGCAAACAGG